UGCCCGGUGCUGGAAGAUUAAAUGAUGGGGUGCAAGCUCUUGACUGAAGUCCCAGUAAACGGCGGCCGUAACUAUAACGGUCCUAAGGUAGCGAAAUUCCUUGUCGGGUAAGUUCCGACCUGCACGAAUGGAGUAAUGAUGGCCACACUGUCUCCUCCAGAGACUCAGCGAAGUUGAAAUGUUUGUGAUGAUGCAAUCUCCCCGCGGAAAGACGGAAAGACCCCAUGAACCUUUACUGUAGCUUUACAUUGGACUUUGAACAGAUCUGUGUAGGAUAGGUGGGAGGCUUUGAAGUAAGGUCGCUAGAUCUUAUGGAGCCAACGUUGAAAUACCACCCUGGUGUGUUUGAGGUUCUAACCUUGUCCCGUUAUCCGGGAUGGGGACAGUGUAUGGUGGGCAGUUUGACUGGGGCGGUCUCCUCCCAAAGUGUAACGGAGGAGUUCGAAGGUACGCUAGUUACGGUCGGAAAUCGUGACGAUAGUGCAUUGGCAUAAGCGUGCUUGACUGCGAGACUGACAAGUCGAGCAGGUACGAAAGUAGGACAAAGUGAUCCGGUGGUUCUGUAUGGAAGGGCCAUCGCUCAACGGAUAAAAGGUACUCUGGGGAUAACAGGCUGAUACCGCCCAAGAGUUCAUAUCGACGGCGGUGUUUGGCACCUCGAUGUCGGCUCAUCUCAUCCUGGGGCUGUAGCCGGUCCCAAGGGUAUGGCUGUUCGCCAUUUAAAGAGGUACGUGAGCUGGGUUUAAAACGUCGUGAGACAGUUUGGUCCCUAUCUUCCGUGGGCGCUGCAAGAUUGAGAGAGCCUGCUCCUAGUACGAGAGGACCGGAGUGGACGCACCUCUGGUGUAUCGGUUGUCACGCCAGUGGCAUUGCCGAGUAGCUAAGUGCGGAAGAGAUAACCGCUGAAAGCAUCUAAGCGGGAAACUCGUCUCAAGAUGAGUCUUGCCGGGGCCUUGAGCCCCCUGAAGGGUCGUUCGAGACCAGGACGUUGAUAGGCUGGGUGUGGAAGCGCAGUAAUGCGUUAAGCUAACCAGUACUAAUUGCCCGUGAGGCUUGACCCU
rnacentral:rRNA from 1 species